rnacentral:rRNA from 1 species
UACAGAGGGUGCAAACGUUGCUCGGAAUCAUUGGGCGUAAAGCGCACGUAGGCGGUCAUGUAAGUCAGGCGUGAAAGCCCUCGGCUUAACCGGGGAAGUGCUUUUGAAACUGCAUGACUUGAAUACUGGAGAGGAUCGCGGAAUUCCCGGUGUAGAGGUGAAAUUCGUAGAUAUCGGGAGGAACACCAGUGGCGAAGGCGGCGAUCUGGACAGAUAUUGACGCUGAGGUGCGAAAGCGUGGGGAGCAAACAGG